rnacentral:rRNA from 1 species
GACGAACGCUGGCGGCGUGCUUAACACAUGCAUGUCGAACGGAAAGGCCCUGCUUUUGUGGGGUGCUCGAGUGGCGAACGGGUGAGUAACACGUGAGUAACCUGCCCUUGACUUUGGGAUAACUUCAGGAAACUGGGGCUAAUACCGGAUAGGAGCUCCUGCUGCAUGGUGGGGGUUGGAAAGUUUCGGCGGUCGGGGAUGGACGCGCGGCUUAUCAGCUUGUUGGUGGGGGAGUGGCUUACCAAGGCUUUGACGGGUAGCCGGCCUGAGAGGGUGACCGGCCACAUUGGGACUGAGAUACGGCCCAGACUCCUACGGGAGGCAGCAGUGGGGAAUAUUGCACAAUGGGCGGAAGCCUGAUGCAGCAACGCCGCGUGCGGGAUGACGGCCUUCGGGUUGUAAACCGCUUUCGCCUGUGACGAAGCGUGAGUGACGGUAAUGGGUAAAGAAGCACCGGCUAACUACGUG